UAUAUUUAGGUGUUAGAUGCACAGAAAAUUUUGAAUUUUCAGGUUAUGGUUUAAUUCCAUAAAAUAUAA
rnacentral:tRNA from 1 species